rnacentral:rRNA from 1 species
UACGUAGGAGGCAAGCGUUGUCCGGAAUUACUGGGCGUAAAGCGCGUGUAGGUGGUGGGACAAGUCUGCUGUGAAAGCGCCGGGCUUAACCGGGCGAGGUCGGCGGAAACUGUCCGACUCGAGGACGGUAGAGGGGGGUGGAAUUCCCGGUGUAGUGGUGAAAUGCGUAGAGAUCGGGAGGAACACCUGUGGCGAAGGCGGCCCCCUGGGCCGGCCCUGACACUGAGACGCGAAAGCGUGGGGAGCAAACAGG